GACGAACCGUGCGAACGUUGUUCGGAAUCACUGGGCUUAAAGGGCGCGUAGGCGGGCAAGCAAGUCCGGGGUGAAAGCCCCCAGCUCAACUGGGGAAGUGCCUUGGAAACGGCUUGUCUUGGAGGGAGGUAGGGGCCUGUGGAACUUCGGGUGGAGCGGUGAAAUGCGUUGAUAUCCGAAGGAACGCCGGUGGCGAAGGCGGCAUCCUGGACCAAUAUUGACGCUGAGGAGCGAAAGCCAGGGGAGCCAAAGCGGG
rnacentral:rRNA from 1 species